rnacentral:rRNA from 1 species
UACAGAGGGUGCGAGCGUUGUCCGGAAUCACUGGGCGUAAAGGGCGCGUAGGUGGCUGGGUAAGUGUGCGGUGAAAGCCCGGGGCUCAACCCCGGGUCGGCCGUGCAGACUGCUUGGCUUGAGCAUAGUAGAGGCAGGUGGAAUUCCGGGUGUAGCGGUGGAAUGCGCAGAUAUCAGGAGGAACACCGGUGGCGAAGGCGGAUCUCUGGGCCUUACCUGACGCUGAGGCGCGAAAGCUAGGGGAGCGAACAGG